UACCAGCACCCCGAGUGGUCGGGACGUUUAUUGGGCCUAAAGCAUCCGUAGCCGGUUCUACAAGUCUUCCGUUAAAUCCACCUGCUUAACAGAUGGGCUGCGGAAGAUACUAUAGAGCUAGGAGGCGGGAGAGGCAAGCGGUACUCGAUGGGUAGGGGUAAAAUCCGUUGAUCCAUUGAAGACCACCAGUGGCGAAGGCGGCUUGCCAGAACGCGCUCGACGGUGAGGGAUGAAAGCUGGGGGAG
rnacentral:rRNA from 1 species